rnacentral:rRNA from 1 species
AACGAACGCUGGCGGCGCGCCUAAUACAUGCAAGUCGAGCGAGAAGACGUAGCAAUACGUUUGUAAAGCGGCGAACGGGUGAGGAAUACAUGGGUAACCUACCCUCGAGUGGGGAAUAACUAGCCGAAAGGUUAGCUAAUACCGCGUACGCUCCUUGGACUUCGGUUCAGGGAGGAAAGCGAUACCGUGGGUAUCGCGCUCUUGGAUGGGCUCAUGUCCUAUCAGCUUGUUGGUGAGGAACGGCUCACCAAGGCUUCGACGGGUAGCUGGUCUGAGAGGACGAUCAGCCACACUGGCACUGCGACACGGGCCAGACUCCUACGGGAGGCAGCAGUAAGGAUAUCGCGCAAUGGGCGAAAGCCUGACGCAGCGACGCCGCGUGGGGGAUGAAGGUCUUCGGAUUGUAAACCCCUUUCGGG